rnacentral:lncRNA from 1 species
UGACUUUAUUUAUUUUUAUUCUUAUUGAUAUUUUAUUUCAUAGCUCUUCAUGUAAUUGUAAAUUACAACUUUUGUAUCCUAUAAAUAGGACUUACAUUACCAUGUAAAAAACAUAUUUGUGAAGAGAAUAAUAUAAGGCUUUCAUUAUCAUCUUCUUCUUCUUAUUUAGUCUUGUGUUUUUAAUUUAUUUAUAAUAUUUUAUCAGCACGAUGCUCUAACCAUUUUAGUUUAUUGCAAUUUGGUAAAAGGGGAGCAAGGAUUUCACCGAUGGGAUUACAAGUCAACGAGGUUAUGCAAUUCUAGUAUUGGAUCCAUGGCAUCCCCAUUUCCAUUUCAAGUGACAUUGACCUUACAAUUUUCAGUGGACCCCACAAUAUUUUGUGGCAUGGCACUUCUCUCCUUUGCAUGCUACAAGAAGAAAUUGCAUUGAAGCAUCCCUGAAGGAUUACAAAAGAAUUUGCAUUGAAGCAUCCAUAAGGGAUUAGAAACAAACAAACAUCUCUGAAGGAUUAGAAACGAACAAAAAUAAUUUAUCUUUAUCAUUGUUUAAAGAUUAUCAAGAAAAACUCUCUUAGAUUAAAUCAUCUUUUUUUUGGUGUUGUUGGUGAAAGUCAUUCAAAUAAGAAAAUAUCAAUUAAAAUCGUUUCAAAGGAUUAAUUAAAGGUUAAGUAAUAUUCAUUAUCAAUUUUUCUUGAUCAUUAUGUAGAUCACGUGUAAUAUAGUUCCUGAAGAACUGAUUUUCUUUUAAUAUUAAAGAAUCCUUGAAGGAUCACCUAAACACAAAUUUUUCUUGAUCAUUGUUUAUAAAUAUCUGAGAUAUAGUUCUUGAAGAACCAAAAUUUAAUAUUAAAGCAUCCCUGAAUGAUUGCUCAAAGAAUAAUUUUUUUUUUUUUUUAUCAUUGUUUACGAAGAUUUAAGAUAUAGUUCUAGAAGAACUUAUAUUUUACCAUCAAUCAUUCAUGAAAGAUUGUAAAAUAAAAAUAUUGCCCCUUGAAUAUGCUCCUGAAGUAGCGAAAUUGAGAAAAUACAGAAAUGAUAAGUAAACACAGCUUUUUGGACAAAUACUAGAUACCAUGGGCAAUUAAGUAAUUUUAGAUUUUAAAAGAUAGGGACAGUUUUGUCAUUCCAUCCCAUCCUCCUCCUCUUCCUUGUUCUCUAUGACCCCUUUCUUCUUCUUCCACCAUCACCGAACUUCUUCCUCACCCUUCUUCUUCGCGUGUUAACUCCGACCACUGCCUAUAACUUCUUCUUCCCGUUUUCACUAUACCCACCUACAUCCAUGUCGACCGCUUUUCAGCCAAAUAAUCACUGCCCUUCAGAUCUGUACUCUUGAACCACUUUCACACCGCCGGAGCAAUUAGGAUCGAAGUUCAAUGGUACUCCUUUAUUCGGGUCGGACUCGGACCCUGGUCCUUCUCCCAUGGUGAUUCCUUCAAUGACAACAUAGACGGUUAUCUCCUUCACGCCGCCGGAGAACGACGACGGUGAGAGAGAGGUCGCCGGCGAGUGACAAAGAACGGGAAGAUGAGAGAGUAACAGAGAAAGAGGAAGAGGGUGAGUGAGAAAGGAAGAAAAAAGAAAAGGAAUCGAAGAGCUUUCUCAUUUCAAUUGGAGAAUCUCGACGAAGCUUUAAACCUAAGGCGCAUAAUUGGAGUUUCGACGAAGUAAGGCUGAAAGAGCACUCUCGCGUCGAAGACAAGCAAAAGAGCGGGAAAACACGAUAUCAAGCAAUGAGGCAGUUUCCUUUUAGUAGAAAAUGUGGGACAAAUAGUUGUCCAAGAU